CCCUUAGAGUUUGAUCCUGGCUCAGAUUGAACGCUGGCGGCAUGCCUUACACAUGCAAGUCGAACGGUAACAGGUCUUCGGAUGCUGACGAGUGGCGAACGGGUGAGUAAUACAUCGGAACGUGCCCGAGAGUGGGGGAUAACGAAGCGAAAGCUUUGCUAAUACCGCAUACGAUCUCAGGAUGAAAGCAGGGGACCGCAAGGCCUUGCGCUCACGGAGCGGCCGAUGGCAGAUUAGGUAGUUGGUGGGAUAAAAGCUUACCAAGCCGACGAUCUGUAGCUGGUCUGAGAGGACGACCAGCCACACUGGGACUGAGACACGGCCCAGACUCCUACGGGAGGCAGCAGUGGGGAAUUUUGGACAAUGGGCGCAAGCCUGAUCCAGCCAUGCCGCGUGCAGGAUGAAGGCCUUCGGGUUGUAAACUGCUUUUGUACGGAACGAAAAGACUCUGGUUAAUACCUGGGGUCCAUGACGGUACCGUAAGAAUAAGCACCGGCUAACUACGUGCCAGCAGCCGCGGUAAUACGUAGGGUGCGAGCGUUAAUCGGAAUUACUGGGCGUAAAGCGUGCGCAGGCGGUUAUGUAAGACAGAUGUGAAAUCCCCGGGCUCAACCUGGGAACUGCAUUUGUGACUGCAUAGCUAGAGUACGGCAGAGGGGGAUGGAAUUCCGCGUGUAGCAGUGAAAUGCGUAGAUAUGCGGAGGAACACCGAUGGCGAAGGCAAUCCCCUGGGCCUGUACUGACGCUCAUGCACGAAAGCGUGGGGAGCAAACAGAUUAGAUACCCUGGUAGUCCACGCCCUAACGAUGUCAACUGGUUGUUGGGUCUUCACUGACUCAGUACGAAGCUAACGCGUGA
rnacentral:rRNA from 1 species